rnacentral:rRNA from 1 species
GACGAACGCUGGCGGCGUGCUUAACACAUGCAAGUCGAACGGAAAGGCCCUGCUUUUGUGGGGUGCUCGAGUGGCGAACGGGUGAGUAACACGUGAGUAACCUGCCCUUGACUUUGGGAUAACUUCAGGAAACUGGGGCUAAUACCGGAUAGGAGCUCCUGCUGCAUGGUGGGGGUUGGAAAGUUUCGGCGGUUGGGGAUGGAUUCGCGGCUUAUCAGCUUGUUGGUGGGGUAGUGGCUUACCAAGGGUUUGACGGGUAGCCGGCCUGAGAGGGUGACCGGCGACAUUGGGACUGAGAUACGGACCAGACUCCUACGGGAGGCAGCAGUGGGGAAUAUUGCACAAUGGGCGGAAGCCUGAUGCAGCAACGCCGCGUGCGGGAUGACGGCCUUCGGGUUGUAAACCGCUUUCGCCUGUGACGAAGCGUGAGUGACGGUAAUGGGUAAAGAAGCAACGGCUAACUACGUG